rnacentral:rRNA from 1 species
AGUGAACGCUGGCGGCAGGCCUAACACAUGCAAGUCGAACGGCAGCACAGAGGAGCUUGCUCCUUGGGUGGCGAGUGGCGGACGGGUGAGGAAUGCGUCGGAAUCUGCCUUUUUGUGGGGGAUAACGUAGGGAAACUUACGCUAAUACCGCAUACGACCUACGGGUGAAAGUGGGGGACCGCAAGGCCUCACGCAGAAAGAUGAGCCGACGCCGGAUUAGCUAGUUGGCGGGGUAAAGGCCCACCAAGGCGACGAUCCGUAGCUGGUCUGAGAGGAUGAUCAGCCACACUGGGACUGAGACACGGCCCAGACUCCUACGGGAGGCAGCAGUGGGGAAUAUUGGACAAUGGGCGCAAGCCUGAUCCAGCCAUGCCGCGUGUGUGAAGAAGGCCUUCGGGUUGUAAAGCACUUUUGUCCGGAAAGAAAUCCUUUCGAUUAAUACUCGGGAGGGAUGACGGUACCGGAAGAAUAAGCACCGGCCAACUUCGUGCCAGCAGCCGCGGUAACAC